rnacentral:snRNA from 1 species
GUGCUCACUUCAGCAACACAUUUACUAAAAUUGGAACGAUACAGAGAAGAUUAGCAUGGACCCUAUGCAAAGUUGACAUGUAUAUCUGUGAAGUGUUUCAUAUUUUA